GGGCCGGUAGCUCAGCCUGGAUGGAGCACUCGACUUUUAAUCGAGUGGUCGCGGGUUCAAAUCCCGUCCGGCCCA
rnacentral:tRNA from 1 species